GCAGUGCGUGGCCGAAUGGUUACGUUGUCCGCUUUGUAAGCAGAUGAUUCUGGGUUCGAUUCCCAUCUGCUGCA
rnacentral:tRNA from 1 species